rnacentral:snRNA from 1 species
GGAUGUGAGGGCGAUCCGGCUGGGACAUCUGUCACCCCAUUGAUCGCCAGGGUUGAUUCGGCUGAUCUGGCUGGCUAGGCGGGUGUCCCCUUCCUCCCUCACCGCUCCAUGUGCGUCCCUCCCGAAGCUGCGCGCUCGGUGAAGAGGACGACCUUCCCCGAUAGAGGAGGACCGUUCUUCGGUCAAGGGUAUACGAGUAGCUGCGCUCCCCUGCUAGAACCUCCAAACAAGCUCUCAAGGUCCAUUUGUAGGAGAACGUAGGGUAGUCAAGCUUCCAAGACUCCAGACACAUCCAAAUGAGGCGCUGUACGUGGCAGUCUGCCUUUCUUU